UGUGCAGAUUCGUCAUAAAGGUUAGCAGUGUCAGCAGCGGACGGUCAUAAUUAAAUGGAAAAAACGGUUCUGGCGUCGUCCUACGAUGGCAAGCCCCACAUCUGUACCGUAGUUGCAGAUUGUUCACGAAGCGUACUCUUGGUUAUCCCGAGCUCGCAGUAAUAAUUGCAUAGAACAUCGCAGCCGUGGAAAGGCGCAAGGAAAGGAAAUUUCGCAGAGUAGGAGGUACGGAGUGUACACGGCCCACGUUCAGCCAUUUCGGUGCCAUCCUGCAUUGCUAUAAAAGCGUGUUGCUUGUGUGGGGGAAAAAGAGGAGCGGAGAAAGCAACACUUUUUGUUGCGAUUGUUACAAUAACAUCAUACUAGAUUUUCUUGUAACGGCACAUCCACACUGCCGGGCAUGUCGUCCGGAAGUGGCAAAAAGAAAGUAGUUGCAGCUGCCGCACCAUCGCUGUCAGUCUCAAUAACUCCUAAUUCAGUGGAAUCGCAAGCACCGCCUGCAGGUAUAAAGCUGGUGAUUGAUAAGAACAGAAUUCUUAACGUUUCUUCGUCUAAAACACAACCUGCAGUGCUUCGGCAGCUAGUGUCCCAUGUGCAAAGCGCGUCCCUAAACGCAUCCAAUGAAGUCCUUUUGCCAAACGGUGGUUCCCAUGCUGGCACGUUAAUCUCAGCAACACCUGCUGCACCCGUAGUUAAACAGGUUAGAUCAUUAACUGCUACAGGUGGCGUUGAAAGGGGAGAGAUGCGUGUGAAAGUUACAGGAGAAGAUCGCAACGGUCAAUCUAUGGCGACCGGAGGACAGUUGGUACAUGUAAAGCAUUAUAGCAAUAUGUUGGGACGACGGCCCUCGACACAUCGUCGGGUGACAGUUCCUAAAGAGGCGGAAAAAACGGUCGAUAACGGUGGACAACAAGCUGUUUUACCGUAUCCGACGAUGAAAUCGGUUGAAGGAACUACCUUUAGGUCUCUAGUACCAUCCAACACCCAACCAGAGAAAACUCAGUCAACAACAGCUAUAAUACCCAUUAGAUGCCCAACAACAACCAGCUGUGUCAAUCUUGUAUUGGACAGUAAUUCACAAACUCCGACAGGUUGUAAUUACAGAGCAGGUAUUACAGAUGUAUAUUCCGUUCCGAACAUGCAUCUCAAUCCCGUACAAACUAUAGUUUCAUACAAAGAUGUUACGAAAAAGUUGGUUAUGGGGAAUGAAAUUAACAGUGCUGGCUUCAAAAAGAACAAUUCAACUAGUACAUUCAUAUCUUCUGGCCAAACACUGAUCAAACCAGUUAAUGAGCAAAAUCACAACGUUGUUGUUACAACUUCCGGUGAAAAUACAUCUCGAAAUAGUAACCUUAACGCUAUUAUCACAGACACUCGCGCGAAUAAUGUUCAAACAAAGCUGAACAUGUCAAAACCGGUAUCGAAUGAUACUACCGAUAUGAACAUGGCAACAAGCAUCAGUAAAGCGCUGGGCGAAGAAGUGUCAAGUAAUAAACCAUCUCGGGAAAUAAAAUCGCUUCGGUCAUCGCAAUCAUCGUCGAAAAUUUUAACUGAAUUCAUCGCAGAUGCCUCCAGUAUAGGUAAAUUACGGAAGCGUCAAUCAGAUAGCUCUGCUGAUACAGAGUCCUUACAUAUGGAUUCAUCCUUCUCUGGAACAACAACGCAAUCAGCAACUCGUAAACGGCCUCGACGAAAGUCAACGAUUCAUUCGACUAGUUCGGACGUAAACAGCAAAGAGUUGGCGACUGACUCAUGCUACGGGUUGGAAGAUGAGGAUCUCACGUCACCAGUGGCCAAAGGUAGAAAAGGACGCACAUCGACGAAAAUAGAACCUUCGCUGCAAAAAUCCACGAAUGAACGGAAUGAUAGUUCCAGCGGUUCCAGGGAUUUCUUUUCAUUCUUGAACCUGGGUUCGAAUGAACAAAAUAAUAUCUGUGAACAAUCGUUCCCAGCGAAUCCACCAAAGCCUGGAUGGGAUCGUUUCUGUUGGCGUUGCAAGAAGCGUAACCCGAAUUUGGGAUGCAGCAAGUGCAUUAGAAGUUAUCAUAAACUUUGCGUACGCUAUUCAGUGGACGAUCCGAACUGGAACUGUACGGAAUGUAAAAUGGCACCCAAUGUACGCGCGGAUGUCGAAUCCAUGACUAAAUGUCUGGGAUAUGUACUAGAUAUAAUAAUGCUUCAAACGGAAGGGAAUGAAUUUUUCAAUCCUAUUGAUAAAUCGGUUUUGCCACACUACGACGAUUACAUCACCCGUCAUAUGGAUCUAGCUGUACUAAAAGAUAAUCUGGUCAAGAAAAAAUAUAAGGCUCCGGAAGAGUUUUUGGCAGAUAUGAGUUGGAUAGUGCAUAACAUGUCCAUAUAUCCUGAUAAAGUUAUGCUAUUGAAACAAGCACGGGCGAUGCAGAAAAAAGCCAAAAAUGAAAUAGACGAAAUGGAACCUUGUUACGAGUGCUACAUAUAUGCUAAUACACGGUCCGAACAGUGGUUUACAGAACCGUGUUCGAAACCUCAUCUGUUAGUGUGGGCCAAGUUAAGAGGAUUUCCCUACUGGCCGGGAAAAUUGUACAUGCUCAACACCAAUAAUCAAGCAUACGUGCGAUUCUUUGCAACACACGAUCGAUCCUGGAUGUCAGUAAAAGAUUGCUUUCUUUAUUGCAAGCAAGAUCCUAACCCUUCCAAAAAUUGGAAGAAUAAAAUAACGGUAUCUCUGGCACAAAGUGUGACAGACAUAGAGCAGCAUAUUACCCGAUUGCAAGAACAGUUCCGCACGUUCAACUAUGCGCCAUUCAUGGAAUUGGUCGACCCGUCGCGAUUCGAGGAACAACAACGUGCAAUGCUUCCGGUUGCUUACCAUAAGAAUGUGAAGGUUACGAUUAAAAAAAACAAAGGUGAGAUGGUGGCCGUUGCUUCUUCUAACGACGAUGCACAGACUCUUCCAGCUACUAAGGCCAGACUGGAGAUGAAAGCAAAUGCUGCUCUCGCUAACAAAGAACCUAUCAAGAAACAAACGAUAAUCAGUCCCCCUCGUAAGCCAACGACACGACGCAUGUCGAGGUUAAUGAGAAGUGCUGACGAAGUAGGUGAACAACCGGUAGUAAAUGCAGGAUGCCAGGAAAGCACAAAUGUGCUGACCGCAUCCGCGGUGGCGAACGCUGACAAAUCGUUCGAAUGUAACCAAUUGUCGGACAAAACGAUUGAAGAUACAGCAGUAAAAAACUCUAAUGUUGCUGAUUGUGUUCUGAAAACUCUGUCCCUGCGUCUGCGACGUGGUUCGCAGUCUGCGACGUGGGAAACAGAACCGUUGCUUAAACGUCGGAAGUCUGCAGCCUUGCUCGCGAACGCUGCCGGCGAAACAAAUUCCCUCGCAUCGUGUGCCGAUGCGCAAGAGAGGACGGGAACAAAGGCGAACAAGGAAGUUGCCGAAUCAAAUGUGGAAAAGGAACCGAACACCUCGAAUGCAGCUACCGACACUACAUGUAAUCAGCAUGCAGCGAAUUUAGCUUCGGAUACGUUGGAAAGUGCAGUCAAUGGUAUUGCUGCCGUUAGCCAGCCUGUAGUAUGUAUCUCAAAUACUGAUGUAAACCCAUCUUCAUCAGUAACUGAGAUCGAUAUCAAGCAAGAAAUUAUUGUUGACGAUGAAGUGAAUACUGUAAUCCAGACAAAAGAUGUUCGGCCAUUGUCCAUCGCUAAGGAACAAGUACAGAAAGAAAAUGCCACUACGUUGGACGCAGUGAAGAAUCAGAUCAUACCUGCUGUUAGUUUGGAAAAGGUGGUAAAAUCUGUGCAACAAACAAAACCUGAAGUGUUAGUGAUUAGUGCGGUAGGUGGUAAAGCUGACGAUACAAAUACUGCUGCUGUUACGAUAGUGCCUAGCAAUCAGCGGGCUAGGAAAUCUUUUCCUGGAGGUGCUGGUGGUAGUACUGCAAAGAAUGUGACAUCUAAACAAGCGUCAUUUCUGGCCCCAAAUGAGUUGCUUCCGGACACAUUACACAACAGCAAGAAGGCAUUGGUUUCCAUACCAAAAGAACUCGUCACUCCUUCUGCGGUUAUUCCCACUACAGACAAUCGCAAAAAUGAUCACAAUGAUGUUGGUGCAGCCUCCGCAUCUAAGGAUAGCGAUGACGUAAUUAUUGUAGAAGAUAUGAAUGAUACAAUUGCUACAACGCCGCCGCUCGUUCCAUGCACCGUACCGGAAAUCGAAAAGACCAACCAGCCGCUUCCUCCACUUGUUCCGAAGCCUUUGGAAACGAUCCCGCCUCCUACCGGUGGUACCAUCGAAUUGAAUAACACUAUGCAGUUGUUUGAUGACAGCGCGAAUAAGAUGUUGGACUUUUUCCGGAUGGUGAUGGAAGAUCUGUUGAAAGACAUGGCUGGCAAAGGAUCGUCGUUGGUUGAGGUGGCAACGCUCAAAUUAAAUCUAGAGCGUCAAAAUGAGUUAUGGAUGCAGGAGAAGCAAACAUUGAUACAAGAGUCUGAACGUAAGAUGGCGAAUUUGCGCAUCUCGCUUGAACAGGAGAAGGAACGUGCCCUCAAGAAACAGCGUCAGCUGCUUUUUGGAGAGAAGGAGCGUGCAGUGCAAGAUACGAAGAAGAAGCCAUGGUGCGCCAAGUGUUACAAGGAGGCAGGAUUUUUAUGCUGUUGGAACACUUUGUAUUGUAGCCAGGAGUGUCAAAAGGAACACUAUGUUGAACAUCGCGAAAAACACAUCCAGAAUACCGUGGAACAAAAAGACACCGUCCAAGAAAUCCAACCUACACUACAGCCCAAUUUGCCGGAUUCGAAUUUGUUGGUUACACGAAAACCUGAAAACAACGUUUCCAUGCGUAACCGGUCUUCUACGAACAUCUCAAAUCUACCUAUAGUUGGUAGCGGAAGCUCUAAUAAUUUAAACAAAAGAUCCCCGAACAAUAGAGUUGCCCAACACCAACUCAUUUCAACAAGCGCUACAUUAAAUACCUCACCAGUUCGCUUUACUUCCGGCACAAUGGGUACUAACGUAGGUUUGAAGACGCCGAUAAUACACUCUGUGCACGGGCGGGACAGCAUGGUAAUAAAAAUGGCACAACAAUCGGCACAGAAUGGAAGUAAUACAACGUCCACGCCUAACAUGCCACAACAACCACAGAAAAAGAUUACUCCACGUGACAAAGCGAUCCAGUCGAAUCAUCAGAAGACGGUUAGUUCUAACAGGGUAAAUUUAACGAAAAAACCAUACGUUAUUGCAUCGUCGUCGUAUCAUAAUACCAACAUGCUAUCACCAACAUUAACCAAUGCCCCAAUAGUAACGCCUUCAUCAUAUGUCACACAUAGGGAGUAUGAGGAAGUAGCCAGUAGCAGCCGAGCGCCAUCUAGUGUCUGGAAUCAGUUUACUGUGAUGCAAUCGGUCGCUAAUCGUAAGCCGCAUUCGGGCACAACAUUCGGCACAGCCGGCGGUAGUGAUGGAACAGAAAAAUUGGGCAAUAGGCUAAAUCAGCCAAUUGUUGCCCCAGAUGUGCAGCAAUCAACAGCUACAUACAUGCGACACCAACAAUGAUUGUCCAAUCGCGAUAGACGAUAGCUAGUAGAUAAUGCAUUUAGCGACUUCCGAAGGUGGACUGAAUGUAACAACUAUAAAUAAAUGUAUACAUAUCUCUUCAGAAGAGAUGAGUACAGCUGUUUAACGAGUGCACGCUUGUGCGUACGCGCAGAUAAACUAUAUGCCAUAUGGCAUUAGUAGACGAUUUUACACAGUUACCCCUCAUGAUCUGCAUUGGUAUACAUUUCCCCUCAGUGUGGGUGCUUUCUGGCAAACCUUUGGGGAUUAUUGUCUAGAACGUCUGACUAUGCUGGCAACAAGCUCAGCUACCAAAAACGCUGUGUAAAUGCCACCAAGCACCAGAAAGUAGCUACUGAAUACAGUAAACUGGCCGAAUACAUCCAGCGCAAACCAACCGUCCGAAUCAGUCACCGAAAAUGUGAGCAGCGUUUGCAGAGAUAAAGCUACCAGCGUGUUGAAACCAAACACUAGCCCAAAGCAAUCGUCCGAAAUGUUUUUGGCAAUUUCCGCACUUACAACGGUAAUGGCAAACGCAUACAGCACACAGAAAAUCAUGUAACCGAUGUAGGAAACGAUCAGGUUGCCCGUGUUAGUGGCUAGCAGCAUUGCACCGCCAGCAGCAAACGAAAGCAACGCGAGUGCAAGCAGGCUGGUGCAAGGUUUCAGGAAACCGCUGUGUAAAUAUCCAGCCAGCAGUGAUACGAUGGCACCGAGCAGCGUUACGGCAGCUUCUACCGCACCGUUCCAUACGGCGGGCUGCGUUUCGUCAAUGGAGCUCCACAGCGCUUGCACGUAGGCUAGAAUUUGUAUGUAGCCAGCCAUUGCCAAUG